GUUCCAGUAGGAAUGGCUUGUUUCUCUUCUGGAGGCAGAGACCUGUGGCUGCCUGUUCACCGCUGUAGACGGAAGCCAGGGGUGCAGAGCAGUGCCUGACACAUAGCAGGUGCUCAAGGGAUGGGGUGUGAUGCUGACUCGGGGUGAAGGGAGGUCAGAGAUGCUGCCAAACGACCUGCAAUGCCGAGGACAGCCCGGACCACAGAGAAGGAUCCUGCCCAAGCUGCUAAUAGUUGAGAUCCAGGCCUGCAGGCCCACGUCCCCUGCGAAUCGGCUCGGGUCAUCCCGCUGUGCGCUGGCGCCACCUGGUGGCUGCAUGAGACACUGCAGCAGCCCUCAAAGGAGCCAAGACCAGAAAUGAUCCCUCCAGUAUUCUCCUAACCACAGCGAUAGCCCACCGGCUGGCGCAGGGCUCACUGUAUGGCAGGUCAAAGCGCCAUGUCUUAUUUGGGAUAAAUCCAAAUGCCACACCCAUACUCACAGGCCACGCAGAAUGGACCUGAAAUUGAACUGAUAUCUCGCACCCGCAACUCUCAGCCUGUUCCACCCUCCCAGAUGCCCUGUGUUCACCACCCCCUUGCUCAGAACCCCACCCCACCCCACGGCUCAGUGAAAGCAAAAGCACCUACAUGGCCCACAAGGACUGAAACACACUCCAGCCCUCCUUCUCUUUCUGCACUCUAUGUUUUAUAUACAGCAAGACACCACGUGACAUAUUUUACUCAUCUAUCUUGCGUAUUAUUAUCCAUCUCCUCCACGUGAACAGCUCCCUGCGGGCAGGGGCUGAGUCUGUUUGGUCACUGCUCUCUUCCCAGCAUCCACCACUGUGCCUGGCGCACAGUAGGUGUUCAAUUUGUUGAAUAAAUGGAUGGAUGAUCCAUACAACA